AACGAACGCUGGCGGCAUGCCUAACACAUGCAAGUCGAACGAUACCUUCGGGUCUAGUGGCGCACGGGUGCGUAACGGGGGGGAACGUGCCCUUAGGUUCGGAAUAACUCCCCGAAAGGGGUGCUAAUACCGGAUAAUGUCUUCGGACCAAAGAUUUAUCGCCUUUGGAUGGGCCCGCGUUGGAUUAGCUAGUUGGUAGGGUAAAAGCCUACCAAGGCGACGAUCGAUAGCUGGUCUGAGAGGAUGAUCAGCCACACUGGGACUGAGACACGGCCCAGACUCCUACGGGAGGCAGCAGUGGGGAAUAUUGGACAAUGGGCGAAAGCCUGAUGCAGCAAUGCCGCGUGAGUGAUGAAGGCCUUAGGGUUGUAAAGCGCUUUUACACGGGAUGAUAAUGACAGUACCGGGAGAAUAAGCGACGGCUAACUACGUG
rnacentral:rRNA from 1 species